rnacentral:rRNA from 1 species
UACGUAGGGGGCAAGCGUUGUCCGGAAUUAUUGGGCGUAAAGAGCGUGUAGGCGGUCCGGUAAGUCAGCUGUGAAAGUCAAGGGCUCAACCCUUGAAAGCCGGUUGAUACUGUCGGGCUAGAGUCCGGAAGAGGCGAGUGGAAUUCCCGGUGUAGCGGUGAAAUGCGCAGAUAUCAGGAGGAACACCGAUGGCGAAGGCAGCUCGCUGGACGGUACUGACGCUGAGGCGCGAAGCGUGGGAGCGAACAGGAUAGAU